UACGUAGGGUGCGAGCGUUAAUCGGAACUACUGGGCGUAAAGCGUGCGCAGGCGGUGAUGUAAGACCGAUGUGAAAUCCCCGGGCUUAACCUGGGAACUGCAUUGGUGACUGCAUUGCUGGAGUAUGGCAGAGGGGGGUGGAAUUCCACGUGUAGCAGUGAAAUGCGUAGAGAUGUGGAGGAACACCGAUGGCGAAGGCAGCCCCCUGGGCCAAUACUGACGCUCAUGCACGAAAGCGUGGGGAGCAAACAGG
rnacentral:rRNA from 1 species